rnacentral:rRNA from 1 species
GACGAACGCUGGCGGCGUGCUUAACACAUGCAAGUCGAGCGGUAAGGCCCUUUCGGGGGUACACGAGCGGCGAACGGGUGAGUAACACGUGGGUGACCUGCCCUUAGCUCUGGGAUAAGCCUGGGAAACUGGGUCUAAUACCGGAUAUGACUCCAUGACGCAUGUUGUGGGGUGGAAAGCCUUGUGCGGCUAGGGGAUGGGCCCGCGGCCUAUCAGCUUGUUGGUGGGGUGAUGGCCUACCAAGGCGACGACGGGUAGCCGGCCUGAGAGGGCGACCGGCCACACUGGGACUGAGACACGGCCCAGACUCCUACGGGAGGCAGCAGGUGGGGAAUCUUGCGCAAGUGGGCGAAAGCCUGACGCAGCGACGCCGCGGUGGGGA